CAGUCGCCGCGGUAAUACGGAGGGAGCUAGCGUUGUUCGGAAUUACUGGGCGUAAAGCGCACGUAGGCGGCUUUGUAAGUUAGAGGUGAAAGCCUGGAGCUCAACUCCAGAAUUGCCUUUAAGACUGCAUCGCUUGAAUCCGGGAGAGGUGAGUGGAAUUCCGAGUGUAGAGGUGAAAUUCGUAGAUAUUCGGAAGAACACCAGUGGCGAAGGCGGCUCACUGGACCGGCAUUGACGCUGAGGUGCGAAAGCGUGGGGAGCAAACAGGAUUAGAUACCCGCGUAGUCCCUGUCUCUUAUAA
rnacentral:rRNA from 1 species